rnacentral:pre_miRNA from 1 species
ACAACAUUUGGACCGUCGGUCUAUCAAGCAAAUAUCACCCGCUCGGUGGAAGAUCUUCCCUUGUCGU